UCCUCUGUGUCAACCGAGGCUCCUUCGCACGCCGCCAUCUCCACCAUCGCAACUCGCUACACCUCUCCCCCUUGUCCGCGCACCUCGCGCUUACCCCCUCGCUCGACGUCCUCGCCGGCCAAGCCCCCUGGCUCCGUCGUCCGCCGCCUCACUGCAGCUCGCCUCCACACUGACCCCUCCGCGCUCAUCCCCCUCCCACAACCGCCACCUUCUUCCAUCACCUUCCACCUGAGCACACAGCUGCCGCACGGCGCGGCCCAUCACCACCAUUGCGCGCCCCAACCGCGCGCUCCGCCUCACGCCUCCAUCAACGCCGUCACGACAGCCGCCGCUGCCGCCAUCUCCUCUCCCUAUCGACAUCGUGGGCCAUCUCUUCCUUUGCCGCACCUUCGCUCCAGGUAGUCGUCAAGGUGGAGGCUCUCAAUCGAUCUGGUGGUAAGUCCUGAAAUAAAGGUACUGAAGCAGCGCUGACAGCUAUUGAAAUGGCUUCUUUGUUUGAACACCAUCUGAAAUUUUAGGAAGCAGAUGCUGUCGACCAACAUUAGAGCUUUGUACUGUUGUAAUUCUUCUAUUCUGAAUCCUUCUCAGCAGGCAGAAUAGGAUUCCUUACUCCAAAGAUUUUGUGUUGUAAUUCCCUGCAUGCAUUCAGUCGUGGGCUACAUUGGGUUGCAUGGAAUGUUUGUUGGGAUUUUUGUAAACCUUAUAUGACAGUUUCUUCUAUACUCUCAUGCACUACUUUGGUUUCUAA